GAGUCGGACAGGUGGUCGCGGCUGGAAGAAUUUCCAGGUGAGGAAAGUCCGGGCUUCACAGGGCAGGAUGACGGAUAACGUCCGCUAGGGGUAACCCUCAGGAAAGCGCAGCAGAAAACAAACCGCCAGAAAUGGUAAGGGUGAAAAGGCGAGGUAAGAGCUCACCGCGGAUCUGGUAACAGAGACGGCAUUGCAAGCCCCAUCCGAAGCAAGACCAAGUUUGACCAAUGAAGGGCUGCCCGCCCGAUUACUGGCCAUGGUAGGUUGCUUGAACCUUUUGGUAACAAAAGGUCUAGAAAGAUGAUCACCCAACGACAUAACCCGGCUUAUCGUCUGACUCG
rnacentral:RNase_P_RNA from 1 species